rnacentral:tRNA from 1 species
UCCCUGGUGAUCAAGUGGCUAAGACUCUGCACUCCCAAGGCAGGGGGCCUGGGUUCAAUACCUGGUCAGGGAA